rnacentral:rRNA from 1 species
UCUCUCUGAAUCUGCGUACGGCUCCGCAAACCAGUUGUAAACUAUAGCAAGCAAGCCCGGGAUCGGCCUUCACGGGCUGGUUCCGGGUGAUAUGGAUAACCCUGGUAAUUCUGAGGCUAAUACAUGACCGUAAAACCUAGCUGACCGGCUUCGGCUGGGAUGCUGGGGGACGUGUGAUUUGGGCUUGGUAACACCGGGAAGGGGCGCACGUCUAGACCACGCUAUAAAGGUCGGUUUCCCCUUCGGGGGGGGCUGUCCCAGUGGCUCUUGCUGUGUGCUUCUGACCUAUCAACUAGACGGCAGCGUAAGGGACAUGCUAUGGUGACAACGGGUACAGAGGAUUAGGGUUCGAUCCUGGAGAGUGGGCCUGAGAGAUCUCC